rnacentral:tRNA from 1 species
GGUAGAGCACUAGUCUUGUAAACACCUGGCUAACUAGGGGUCAUGAGUUCAAUUCUCAUAGAGGGCA